AUCUGAGAUACGAGGAGCGACCGUUGCGGAUUCUUGCUCGUGAGACGAAAGAAUUGCGCAACCGGGUCAUCCCGUAUGUGAAAGUGCAGUGGAGUAAUCAUGAUGAGCGGGAGGCGACUUGGGAGUCUGAGACGGUGAUGAGGGAAGCCUAUCCCUACUUGUUUGACGCCUGAGUAGAGGUACGUUCAGUUUCGCGGACGAAACUUUUUGUAGAGGGGGAGGAUGUGAGAUCCCUGGUGUUUGACUGUGGAGGCUUGCCGACAGCUCUGGAGAGUGUCGGGACAAGUCCGAGUCACGUUGGCGUCAAAUAGACGUAAAACGGACUCCGUGCGACGCGAGGGCAGCUUAUAGCGAAGAAAUCUGCAAAAUUGCAGAUUUCUCUGCUUGCUGUACCGGUACAACCAGCGUGGCUGUACCGGUACAACCAUCGCGCAGAGGAUUAGCAGCUCUCGGGUUGGCUCUUGUACCGGUACAAGAGCCCGUGUACCGGUACAAGGGGGUAGGUAGAGAGUUAAUUUAGUAAUUCUUUCCCUCGUUUGUAUCACCACUCCACCGACCUCUUUAUACAGACGUAGAGAGCUUGAGAAGGAGUUCUAUUGCUGCUCCUUUUUCCCCUCUCCCUCUCUAGCUUGGUUUGACCGUGGAGGAGUUCGGUUGGAGCUCGGAUUCGACACCGACGUCGCGCCGCGAAGCCGUUCGGGGAUACGGUUGGGAUCGUAGUGCAGCGAGGAAGCUAGGCGAGGGUGCGUUUUUGCCGUUCUCGACGCCGUGUCGCUGACCGAUUAGCCGUUGAGGUGAGCGUUCCGUUGCGUUGCUUCAAGUAUUGACAUUUCGAGCUAGGUGCUGUUUGCUGAUUCCCAUCGUCGACCGUUAGUUUUUCAGCUCGUUCUCGACAUAGGAGCAUCGGAUUGCGACGGGACUUGGUUCGUUGGAUUCGGGACUUCGAGAGGAAUCCACGAAGCCCUUACUUGCUGGAUUCGGUGAAGGUUAGCUUGGUCGAAUCUCCGUUGUACCUCACUGCUGAAAUUUCUGGGCUGAAUGGUGACUUGUGUUGUGUAGGGCGUAGAGUUAGCUCGAUUUUUGGACUCGACGGAUUCCGGGUGAUCCAGCAGGUCGCUCUACACCAGUGGAAGUCUUUCGCUGCUAGGGAUUAGCUUUUUGGAGGUGGGUUACAUCGGUUUUGACUCCUAAGCUCAUAAUCGUCAACAUGUAUAGAUCUCUAUUUUGAUAAUUUAUUCUAGCUCGAAUUCAUGGAUUAUAUGAUAGAAUGCAAAUCUGAAUUUGGAGCAUGUGGUAAUAAAUUAAGUAGAUUAUAUAUGUUGGACUUGGAAACUGAAUUAGGAGAAAACCUGCGAUUUGGACCUGUCACUUGAUUAAACUGCCUGAUUUAGCUCUAGGAGCCGAUAUUAAAUUGUACUGUCGAAGUAUCUUCGAGACGAGUACUUCAGGUAGUUUAGAAUAUAUUUUUGCUCGUGCUGGUGUGCCGAGUGGAUUUUUACAGGGUCGUUCAGGUUGUUCCGGAUUGUUGGGUGCCGUCAGAAUUGAUGGUGGACCCGUAUCGCCUUUUUGGCGUCAAAUUGUGCUGAGGGCACGUUACCUGUUGGUUGUUAGACCAGUUUGAGUCGAUUACUUGACUUUGGCUAGUUGGAGCCUGAUUGAGCUCGACAGAGAUACGCUGCAUACUCGGUUGGGUAGCGCCCACGAGUGCCACUCCGGAGUCAGGCUUGUGCUUUUGCGUUGGUGUCGCUCAUGCCAGUUGGACUUGCUCUCCACGGACCAGUUAGUGUGGAUAGAGCCUGAUAGUCGCAACGGGGCAGGGACGGGUGUAUUCACAGUCCCGGGGACGGGUAUGCUUACAGUCCCGAUUUGGAUUGGGUCAGACUUGACAUUUCCUACAGUUGGUUAGUGUAGAGCAUGAUAGUGUAGUGGAUGAUAGCGGUAGAGUAUGCUUCCUGCUUUCCUUCUAUCCUUGCUCCCUUCUGUAGACUUAGUGGGUGACCGAUGUUGUUUUGGGCGGUACCCACUGAGGACUACUUGUUUUUACAGUAGUUCUCACGCCCAGUUGUUACUUAUGUUUUGCAGAGCCACAGGUGCCGGCUGCUGCAUCUUCCGCCGACCAGGAUCGAGGCAAGGGCGUUGUGAGCUAGAGCCCUACCCGACAGUCAGAGCUAGAGGCUUUUCCCUACUGCAGGUAGUUGUUGUUUUGGAGUUUAUGUACAUAGUUGUUUAACUCGCCAGUGCGAGUAGCCUUGUAUUUUGGAUUCUAGCUAUGUAUAUGAAACUCAGUUAUUUAGUUUUUGAGCGGCUCUAUGCUACUGUUUGUAGUAUCGUUUUUCUACAGGUUCUUUGACGCUUCGUAUACAGGGAAAAUUUCUUUGUAUACGGCGGAUCUGUCGGCGUGCCCGGGGAACGUGAUAUCCGGGUCGUGACACGAAUGGUGAUUCCCAUUGAGGUGAAGGUCGACCCUUAGGCUUUCGGGAGUCGCAAGCUGCUUGCAGUCGAAACUCCUCAUGUCAAGAAACUUGGUUGGUUCAGAGUAAUUAAGUGGGAGUUUUAGACGUCUUCUGAUAGCUCUGUUGUGUUGCCUAUGGAAUAGUGACUUUCAAUAUACAUGUCUUCUCCCAUGGAGACUCUUACUUCUUUUUAGAUCAGCAAAACGUGUCGUUCUCUGUUGUGAUUUCUUUGAUUGCUUCAAAAAUGUGUACUACUUGCCCCCUUUCCUUACACCAACUCAAAUUUGUGUCCUCCAUAAUAUUUUGAGGCAUGGGUUGGAGAGUAAUAGUUAUAUUCACUUUGUAAAAUACUAUUUUCUAUUGAGAUGUGGAAUCUUGGGUGGGACCACCAUUCUUCAAGCAUCAAUCUUAUGUAACAAUAUUUGGGCCUAUUUCCCUCCUUAGCUCUUAAGCAAAUAUCACAAUCUAACACUAUUUAAUUUGAGAGACCUUCCAAUCCACGUGGCGUUGGGAGGAUGCCCUAAAUCCACGUGGCGUUUAGAGGCGGCUUGGGCCUCUCUCUCUCUCUACCAAAGUGAUUGCCCCUCUCUCUCUCUCCCAAAACCGACUGCUCUCUCUCUCCUUCUCGGGUUGGGACUCUCUCUCUCUCUACCAAAGCGAUCACCCAUUUCUCUCUCCCCAAAUAGACCACUCUUCUCUCUACUUCUCUCUAUCUCGCACUGUCUCGCCGGUGCCCUCUCUCAUCCAUCCCUCUAUCCCUGAACUGAUCGCCCCCCUCUCUCAUUCUCUCUCUCUUUUCUCAUAUCUCCCACUCUUUCUCCCUACAACCAAUCUUUUGAAACGAUCACCCCUCUAUCUCUCUCCCUCUCUCUCUCACGCGCUGCUUCUCCCGCUCUCUCUCUCUACCAUCUAUCAUCUUCUCACACUCAACAGAUCGCCCCUCUCUUUCUCUCCCCCUCGCUAUCCCUCAUUUUCCCCUCUCUUUCUCUCCUCCUCGCUAUCCCUCCCUUUCUCUUGCUCUUCGAUCGAUAGUAGGUUUCUCUCUCCUCGACCUCGACGGAAUAAGGCAGUUUCCUUUCGGACCAGAACUCUUUGCUGGUAUGCGAUCUGCACCUAUACCUACUGUGGAGUCUACAUGUGACUCCUACCCUUAUACCUCUGGCCUCUACAGGUAACCCAUCUCUUCCCUCGCCUUCCUACUAUCUGCUGUGUUUUUUUUUCUUGCCGAAUUUGGUCCGUCCCCUAGGCCUUCUACGGCUGCGAUGGUAUGUAACAGCCAGGAUGGCUCCUAACCCUAGAUCUAUUUGCCCCCUACUUCUCAAAGGGGCUACCAAAAAAAAAAAAAAAAAAAAAAAAAUGACCCUUAUUCACAACCAGAGUCCAAGAAAGCCCUGCCUUGAGGAAAAAACUGAAGAGAUUUAGUAAGAUUUUGGUUGAUAUCAUGGUGGAUUCUCUCAUCAUUCAUGCCUACUUUUAUAUUUAAAAAACUAUUAUCUAAAGUUUACUGGACAAUUCUAUGUCCUUGUUAUGUGUGCUUGAGUCUAUAAAUAGCAUGUCCUCUUCCAAAUAAGAACAGCACUGGCCUCUCUGCAGUGUAAGUUGAGUUAAAGUACAAACUGACCAUCCCUAUAAUCUUAGGUAUCUUUCUUCCCCACUAUUCUUAUUGGCUACAGAACCUCACUAUCUAAUUCUACAGUUACUUAUUAAAUUUAUUGUCCUCUUUGUAUGUAUUAUAUUGCUUCCUCCCCUCCCUAUUUAUAGUCCGUUGUUUGCCUUCACUUUGUACUGUUUACUAAACUAGACUGAUUUUGGGACCAAAAUGAUUUCUCCUGAUUCGUGCUUCUCUCUUUUUUAUCUCUUUGGUUUUUACUGUUUCUAUUUUAUUCUGGCUUUCUUUACUUCUUCAUCUAAUUUCGUCGUUUUUGGAGGCGAUAAUGACAAGUAUUUCACCCAAAAAAAAAAAGUGGCUAUGUACUCCCUUUGAGCUAUGAAAUUGCCUGCUAUAUCUUGAAAGAUUUUUUUUUCUUGCUUGCGACGAGUUACUUCGGUUCUUUGUAGGAAGGCAACCAUCUUGCCGAGAUUGGACGACCUACUCAAGGGAAGCCAUCUGACACUGUCUGUUUGCUGAUGCUACUAUAAUGGGUUUUUUCUUUGCUGUUUUCUGACCCUCUCUUCUCUCCCAGUAUGAAUGGUUUGGCAGUGCGAAUGAUGUAGAAAAUACUUUUGUUUGGUUCAUUCCUCACACUUUACCUGAGCCUACCUGUUUUAGAUGUAAAUUAAUGUCUACUGUGGUUAUUUGUUUGUCUUAUUUGGUUUACUAAAUUACUGCCUAUUGUGAUCUUUCUUUAUUUUUUCCUUGCUGGAUUUUCUACUUGGGUUUUCUCCUUCCUUUCUUUCUUUCCAAACUGAAAUUCUUUUGUUUUUUUUUUUCUUCAUCCUUUUUUUUUUCUUUUUUCUUUUUUUUUCCUCCUAAACUGUUUUCCUUGCUUUUUUUAGAGGCGAUGAUGACUACUGCACUGAUGUUAUAUUUACAUCUCCUGUCUAUCUUCAUCUUUAUGUUUUGUUUAAAAAAGCUAAAUGGCUAUAGUAGAUUGGACGGCCCAUUCAAAGACAACUACCUACUGCAAGUUGUAUGGCCUAUUCGUGUGCAACCAUCUACUAUUGUUCAUUCCCCUUGAUUUGCUGUAUUGAGAGUUUCUGCUGCUGUUUUCUUCCUAUCCUGAUCUCACAGCCUUUGAUUAUACUUGGUGCUGCAUUCUCACAUGAUUAAAAAUGCACUUUUUCGAUUCUAGCUACAAUACGAGCCUCCUUAUUUUCAAAUAAAGAUACUACAUGUUGUAGUUAUAUUUUUUGCUUUGGUUCCUGAUACUUUUUACUAUUUGACUUGACAUAUUUAUUAUUCACUCCUUAAUACUAAGGUUCAAUGAUUUAGGUAAUAAGCCCACAACCAACAGCCAGAAACUUCAAGUUUCAAAAAUAAGUCAUGGAUUUAGAUUCAGGUCACUUUGUAGUAACAACAUUUUUUUAAUGUUAGUUUUUGUUGAUGAACGGUUGGCAGGGCAUUGCACCUAUUGUUAAGUUAAUGAUGAAAAAUAAAAGGUGACAUGUGCUUGCCUAUGAUAUAUCUAAGCCUCAUUACUUUCUUGCUUUCAAUGUUUUCUACUUAUUUUAUUUACGUGUUGGCCCUUAGUGUUUUUUAUUGGAUUUUGCUUUUUCUCCAUUGAUCAUACUGUCUUUUCUUUUUUUUUUUUACAAUAUGCAUGAACUUUGCUUUAUUUUUUUUUUUUUUCCGAAUUUCGUUGCUGGUUGGGUGUUUUCCUGAGUUUAUCCUUUGCUUUGGUUUUCUUACUUCCUUCUUUACAUCACUUUUCAAAAAAAAAAAAAGGAUUGACCUCCUCCUGCAGUCUGGGCAUUUUUUUUUUCCGGAUUCUGUUGCUGGUUGGGUGUUUUCCUGAGUUUAUCCUUUGCUUUGGUUUUCUUACUUCCUUCUUUACAUCACUUUACGAAAAAAAAAAGGAUUGACCUCCUUCUCUUGUAGUCUGGGCAAUGGCGACUGUCCAAUUUUCUUAUGUUAGUAUGCUUGGCGAGGUUUACGAACAGCUUGGUCUAGGAGUGCCAUAAGUUGUAGUGGCCAUUGAUAUCAAAGGCAAAUUUGUUGGAUAUGUGGAUCUCCAGAUUCCACGAAGUGAAACUGUUGUCCGAACUGUUCGUUGUUCAAGCUCCUAGUUCCCUUGUUCGAGAUGAGUGUGAUUUGAAAUUAAAAGAUAUUAAUUACGAUGACUCUCUCUUCCAUAAAAAUUUAUAUGACCAUCAAACAACCAAUUAUGUCAUUUUAUCUGCACAGUAUGGUAACCUUUCUUGGGAAUAUAACUUAUUGAAGGAUGAAUAUGUUGAUGAUCGGAUCAAGCUCCAUAAUGCCAUUGUUGAGUGUGUGAACCGUCUUCCUGCUGAACUGCCUGCUCCUGCUGCAGAUCCCUCUGAUGCUAUGUCCAACUAGCUGGCUUAGUUGCUCAGGCUUCUUAACCGGUCCAUGCUUUUGUUUUCGGCAAAGUCAUUUUGUGCAUGGCGUUUUGGUUUGGCAUGAAAUAAUAUGUACUUUGCUUUGUGUUUAGUGUUUUGCAGUUUAUGUGUUCUCUGUUUCACUCCAAAUAUUUUGUGUGGUUUUUUCUAUAUUUCAGUUUCUCUCUCUCCACCCAAACUGUGUCUCGAUUUUUAUAGCUCUUUUUGUUGACUUUCUACUCUUCUUUCAAGUGUGAGGAAUGCAUCAAUUGUGCUUCUUUUUUUUUAUUAUUGGCUCCCUUAAAGUGUGGGAAUGAGACAACUCUUGAGCAUUUUCUUCUCCAUUUGCCCACUGAAGCACCAGCCGAGGUUCAUGCUAGGAGGAAAUUUUUACCCACACAAACUACAUAGUCAAAAACUGCAAUAAUAUUGGGCAAUAGUAUAUAUAUACUUUUCUUUGUUUUUCGUGUUUUGCAGGUUACGUAGCUUCUAAUUUACUUCAAUUUUAGUGUGUACUUUCUUCUUUAUUUUAGAUACUCUCUUUUCUCCCAAACUACCUCUUUUUUUUUAAAUAAAAACUCUUUUUAGUUGACUUUUUAAGUAAAAAAUUUCUUGCAGUAAUUUAUCAUGGAAGAUAGUUGGGUUCUAUUUAAGUAUAAGGAAAAUAAUCUUAAGCAUUUUCUUCCUCAUUUUCCUCAUUUCGCCAUAAAUAAUCUAAAGAUUUAGAAUUAAUACUGUAUUUAUAUUAUAUGUUUUAUUGUACUGUUGAUUUAUUAUAUUUACGUAAAAGUUAUGCUUAAUACUGUAUUCUUACUAUAUGUUUUAUGACAAACAAUAUAGAUAUAUGUUUUACAAUAUGUUUUAUGACUCUUCAGAGCUAUAUACUACUAUAUGUUUGUCAAUAUAUUUAUCCGCAGCGAAGCGCGGGGUUUUCACUAGUUUUCCAUUAAUUGAUGCAUAUCCAUUUCCAUUCCUGACCAGCAAGUGAACUGUUCAAUUUUCUUAUAAAUUUGCUGCAUUCUGGAGGUAUGAAGUGUCAUGCCCUAAGCCCACAACGGAAGCACUCAUCGGGUACAUGCAACAAACCCGCCGAUCAGACAGAAUUUUUUCUAUUUGCACAAUACGUCACAAACAUGUAUACGCAACAUAUUCCAAAUAGAAAUUGAAUACAUGAAUUACAUAAGGAAAGUAUUAAAAAACGAAAGUAAAUACUACUUCUAUUACAUUUCAUAAUUCAUUCAUUUACAUAUAUAAACUUUUCAAUCCAAAAUACAAUCCAAAAUAAGCUUUACACUUUCAUAUCCCAUCUUUACAUUGUUCAAAAUCGGGGUACAUCUAUAAAGACUUCAAAAUGUGGAAGAAAAAUGCCGCUAUCUAUUGUGCUACGCUCUUUCCUCUCUCCGCUACCUCAUCCGCGGAUAGACCUGAAAAGUAUUGGGAUGAGAACUAUAAAUAUAGUUCCAGUGAGUACGGCCACCCAAGCAAGAAGCUCGACCCGCCAGGUCCAAAAGAAGAACAUAAGUAUGGAUUAAUUUAACAUAUAUAAAUGUGUAAGAAAUAACAAGUUUAUGCCUCUAAUUAUGGUAACGAAACCUACUCAUGUGACGUAAAUUACAUUUACUCACUAGGUUCCACAUUUUAGUCAUAUCACCUGACUCACAUUUGAGUCAAUCAAAAGCGAAGCACCUCUAUCCUCAUAGCAUAGAGCAGAGCACUACCAUCUUUAUAGUAUAGAGCGAAACACCACCAUCCUUCUAGCAUAGAACGGAGCACCGCUAUCCUCUUGGCAUCGGGUGGCGAGAUUGUCGAUUACCUCCAGCAACUGAGUUGUUAGGAGUUCUGAAAUUUCUUCUUUCAUAGUCACAAUGAUCCAUUACCCUAUACUGUCAAUCUUUCUAGGUUGAAGCUCUCAUGACCAAGUGGUAUUCUACCCACUAUGUUUCCAACUGAUAUUCCAAUGGCACUAUAUUUUAUACUUUCAUGUGUUGAAUUCUUUAAGGACCUUAGAGAAGUCGAUUUACUAUUUAGUCCAUAAUAAAGGUAUGCAAGUGAUCGUACAUGGAAUUACUCAUGAGUUAUCCUACAUUAUGCUAGAAUAUCAUGCAUGCACAUAUAUUCACAAGAUUUAAUGUAUUAUGCUAAAAUAACAAGCAUGCAUCCAUUUAUUCAUGAGAUAAGAUACCCUUGAUUCAUAUGCACUAUAUGCAACCAUAAAUAAUCUCAUGUUGUUAUUCUACUCUUAGACAUAGAAGUAGUCAAAUCACUUUGGUCAAGCACAAUCCACCUCAAAAACACUACAACAAAAACGGUCUAUAGCGACACUUUUAAAUAUCGCUAUAGGUAAAAAAAAAAUGCUGCUCGCUAAAUUACCGACACUUUUAAAAAAUGUUGUUAUAUGUGGGGUCGCUAGGUAUAUAGUGACAGUUAAAGAGUGUCACUAUAACCUAAAAGAGUGUUGCUAAUUUACCAACACUUAUUUAAGUAUUUAGCAACCGCCGAAACUUUACCUCGUUGGCUGCGGUGGCGGAGGAGGACUAGAGGAAGGGAUCUUCGUCUAGGAUUUCAGUAGAUUGAGUGAAGAAAGAAGAGGAGAUGUUAAUCGAUUUUUCUUUUUUUUUCUUUUCUGUUUGUAAUCGGACCGAAUGGGCUAGGUGGGGUGGGUUGAGUAGAGUAAUCUUUUAUUUUUGGUUGAAUUGGGCUUUAUAUUUAGGCAUUAGUAGAUUUUUUUAAAAAGUUUUGGCAUAAAUUGAACACUUACACAAAAGUGUCCCAAACAUGUGUCCCUAUAACCUAAUUCUGUUGUAGUGAAAGCUCCUAAUUACUUGUAGUCACUUGCAAUUACGCCUCUAUCUUGAAACUACAAGCUUGCUUCUAAGUUUUCUUGCCCUAAACAAGAAUGGUUCGUUACCUUUUUCGAACUCUCAAAUGAUUUUAUUUUAAGAAAUCAAGAUGUUCCUCUUGAUCUCCUACCUAUUAAUUAGAUUUUUUUAAAAAAGAGAUUUUUAAACCCUUCCAUGGCAAAAGCCCUCUCUUCACCUAAGGUUUUUCAAAAUAAGGGCAAAAUCCCAAAUCUCUGGGUAAAUCUCUAUUAUUUGUAGCCUAAAUUUACUAAGGUUUGCUAAAAUUUUAAAACCAAGCUCAAAACCCAAAACUCUUGCUUAAAACUCCAAGAACUCACCUCUAUCCAGAGUUUCCCAAACUUUUCCUUACUCCAAGAAGUCUUUUAGUCACUUUCCAAACUUCCUCGUAGAUCAAUCCUUGAUCUUGCAAGGUUUGGGGAGUUUCUAGAGAGAGAAAAAGGUAAAGAGAGUGUGGGAGAGUGAGAGGAAAUGUUUUGGAGUAAGGAAGAAGAAAAACCUAUGUGCUCUUAUAGCUAGACCCAGCAAAAUUAUCGGAAUGCCCUCAAAUUGGGUAUUCUGCAAGCUGAGGGUCCAAAUCCUGUAUUCAAGGUCCGGACACUAUACCCGAGUCACUAUUUGUCUAGGCAAGGUUCGAACCUUACCUCAGGGUUUGAAACCCAUAAGAAAAUCCAGUGAUUUUCAUAGCCAAGAUUUGAAUUCUACACUAGAGUUCGGACUUUGAUACUCUGGACCGUAUCAAAAAUCUGAAUCCUCAAGUUAAGCUCCAAACCCCGAGAGCCCGGUAGUUGAAAAUUGAAACUUUCAAAAAUUCUUAUUUUCAAUCCUUGAAGCUCUAGUCCACUUCUACUCAUUCUGAAACCCUCGAAACUCAUUUCCAAAUAUGUUCAAAUCACUUUGUACUAUAUUUUAUCCAGUUUGGCUAAAGUUCAACAUAGUAUACCAAUUUCAGUACACUACAUUUUUGAUACUAAAAUUGAGCCGACCUAACCCACGUAUGAGCCAAUAAGGACACGUGGUAGACCAGGAGUCGGCAAUAAGGCGCCUAAAGGAUAAGAAGGCGGGAACGGUUGAAGAUUGGGGCGUAACUUCCAUGAGGAGUUAGCGUAACUUCCAUGAGGAGUUAGUAUAACUUCCACGAUCAUGAUUACAACCACUCCCCCCCAACUACUUUCAACCAACUAAUAAUAUGGGCUAUAAAAAGUAACUUUGAAGCCUGCAAUAAAGGUCUUCGCCCCUGCGCACAAAAGACCACCCUUAUUUUCUCUGCAUUUUAUCACUUUUCUAGGAGUAGUCUAAAUGUAAUCUUUUUUUUUCUCGCAAUAAUUUUUUGGCACGCCCGGUGGGACACAUUUUUAGGUAAAUUUAUAUUUUAUAUAAAUUAUGGCUGAUGAUCUACGUAAUAGGGUUGUUCCUAGAAAUUCUGGGAGUGAUCAACCUAGUGAUUCAGGCUAUGCUGGCGAAUGUCAAGCAUUUUGCCAGUUGAAUGAGAAACUAGUGGACAAUCGGCUUAUCAAGAGCCGAGUCUAACUCAGGCACUCGACCAGAUGAGCCUAGUCCUGCAAACUUUAGAUCAAAAUAUCCAUCAAAGUACCGCUCGACUAGACGCGGUGCUGGCCGCUAUCACGGCCUAUAAUGAAAAUAUUGCACGAAUAGGGCAAUUAUUGACUCGAAAUGAGCAACCAAUGACAGGCUUACAAAGGCCUAUGAUGACACCAGUGUUGCAAAAUCCUGCGACACCGGUAAAUGGACAGGCCCAAUACCAGGGGGCACCAUUCCAAGCGGCUUACAAACCGGCCGUCGUCAAUACCGGUCAACAGCCGAAAAUUACAUGGGGAUUGCCACCACCUCCACCGAUGGCAGCAUACCAGCCCCAAAAUGUAGGGGCUAGAGCUAAGGGGCAGGCCCCUAAUGAUAUGCAAGGAGUGAACCCUGCAAUACAGAAUUCUGGAGUUCCUCAAGGGCCAAAUUCGGCUCAAGCACAAGCUCCGCUGUAUGCUCAGAUUGAGGAAGUCAUUCAGAAUACCUUCGGAGUAGGGGCCAGGCCGGCUAUGUGGCCUGUUUUUCGAUCCCCGUAUCCAGCAAACAUAGAUACAGAGCAUCCGUAUCCGGCAAACUGGAAAAUGCCGAAGUUCGACAAGUUUUCGGGCGAUGAGACCGAGAAUACGGUCGAGCAUAUAGCCCGGUUCACGGCCCAAUGUAGAGAAGCGGUUGCUGACUCAUUUUUGAAACUUCGAUUAUUUAAUACGUCGUUAACUAAAACGGCGUUUACUUGGUAUACAAGUUUAUCAGCCAAUUCCGUCCAAGAGUGGGACGAAUUGGAAAGAAAAUUUCAUGAGCGAUUCUAUAGAUCGGAGCUAUCGGUCGCCGACUUGGCUUUAUACCGACAAAUGUCAGGUGAAACAGUCAAAGAGUAUUUGGACCGUUUCAAAAUAGCCAAAACCCGGUGCUUUAUGAGAAUGCCGGAAUUAGAGUUCGCCAAAAUGGCAUUAAAUGGCCUACAUUUUAAGAUAAAAAACCAUUUUGAAGAUAAGUAUUUUUCUAACCUAUUUGAUCUAGGUGUUCGAGUUGCCCAAUACGAGCAAUUUCAGAAGAAAAGUGAGGACGAUCGGCUGCAAUGGAGCCGAUAUAAAAAUCAAAGCAAAGGCAAGGAGAAAUCCUUGCUAGAAGAACAGUCGGUUCAAGAAGAGCCGAGCCAAUCGAGUGAAAGUGAAGAAUCGGCUGAUGAAGCCGAGAUAUAGCCACUCCCUUUAAAAAGAAUUUCCUGAUAGAAAAACAUUCGGUUCAAGAAGGGCCGAACUAAUCGAAUAAAAGUAAAGAAUCGGCUGAUGAAGCCGAGAUAUAUGUGGCUGGGAUGAUAAAGAGCCAUUUUCCUAAAGCUGACCAAGACCAGCGAAACUAAAGCUUGGGUCUCGGCUGUGCUUUUGAACAGUCGAUUUGGCACCAAUAGUCAUCCGAAUGUUCAUUCGAAAGACUAUUGGGGGGGCAUUGUUGAUACCAAAAUUGAGCCGACCUAACCCACGUAUGAGCCAAUAAGGACACGUGGUACACCAGGAGUCGGCAAUAAGGCGCCUAAAGGACAAGAAGGCGGGAACGGUUGAAGAUUGGGGCGUAACUUCCAUGAGGAGUUAGCGUAACUUCCAUGAGGAGUUAGUAUAACUUCCACGAUCAUGGUUACAACCACUCCCCCCCAACUACUUUCAACCAACUAAUAAUGUGGGCUAUAAAUAGUAACUUUGAAGCCUGCAAUAAACGUCUUCGCCCCUGCGCACAAAAGACCACCUUUAUUUCCUCUGUAUUUUAUCGCUUUUCUAGGAGUAGCUAAAUGUAAUCUUUUUCUUUUCCGCAUUUACUGCUUUUCUAGGAGUAGUUCUUGUAACUUAGAUCUUUGGAGUCUGUCUGCCCCAUAGACAUCACUCCCUUCUAAAAUAUACUUGGAGUCUGUCUGCCCUACGGGCAUCACUCCCUUGUAGAAUAUAUUCGGAGUUUGUCUGCCCUACGGGCAUCACUCCCCUGUUCUUGUACUCUGCCAUUCCCUAUUCAAUAGAAAGUCACGUUCGGCUAUUCGGGCCGACCAGAUUUUGUGUUGUGCUAGCCAUUCGGCUCAUCUCCCGGCUUAAUUUCCGACUUUCCCUGCAUAUUCGGCUCAUCCAGCCGAACCGAAGAGUGAAAAGAGGUUUCGGACCCUGCUGAUUCGAUCCCUCAUCAGCCGAAUCGCUUGAUCUGUCGAAGGGCGCAUACUUUGAGGGUCGUAAUCCUCAGCCGUUUCGCAGCCUGACGAUCUUCCCGAGGAGAAUUGUUGACCGGGUCAAGAGUCGGGAUGUUCGGCGCACAACAUACAUAAAGUUUAGUUAGCGGAUGGUCUCCUUCGCCCUAUCUUGCACAGUUUGUAUCCGUUUUGAUAUAACCAUGGUAAGUGCUUUGCAUUUCUCUUUUGUGCGCAAGGUAACACCCAAGUCUCUGUUAGAUUCCUAUGGCUUGGCUUGUUCAUAGGUCAAAGAUAGUGAACAAAGGUGAGGCAUUUCAAGCACAGACCCUAACUUCUCCCUUCACCAAGUCCCACACAAGGCAAGCCUUUGCCAAAUUAGAAUUUUCGUUAGUUUUUGGACCCUUAAGUCCUCAAAUCAUGCUUGAUAAUCUUCCACUGCCUUGUUGUGUAUUUGCCUGCAGAACCCUUCAAUGUCAUUAGUCUAGCAUUUGAUGUUAAUCCUCUUCCACCUAUCUACUGCAAAUUUAGUUAUCAAUCUCCCACUUUUUUGUCUUUGCUUUCUAGUUUGUAACAGCUCAAUCUGAGUAACAGCCUAAUCUUAGUAGCAUCCAUUACCGAUUGCAAUCUCGGAGAUCUAGUUUGCUGCGCUGAUGAUUGUGGUGUUACCAAGGGUCAAUCUAGUCCAGAUUUGUUUCCAAACUGAGUAGCGACCUUCAGUGACGAAUUUGAUCUAAGAAUUGGAUGGCUACAAUGAUGAUCAGUUCCACGCCAAAUAGAUCAAUUCUGGAGUUUAUGCCGACGAUGCUGAUGAUGAAAUUGAUCCAACUAUGGUUGUUGAUGUCGUGGGUUGGGAUUGGUUUUUCUUCCAUUUCUUAUAGCCUAUGAAUUCCUGGUGGAGGUCCUUUACCCUUGUUUGCUCUGAAAGGUGAUUGAAUAAUAUUAUGUUCCAAGUUGCUGCUCUUUGAGCUUCUAUUCUCUGUACGGACUGUUGCGAUAGCUGGAAUUGGCUUAGUAGGAUAUGGUUCAGUUGCAUGCAACCUCAGCAACUCCUUAGAUCAGACAGCUCUAUUCCUCAACUCCUCAUCAAUCCUUUUGUAUACUUUCUUCUUCAAAUCUUCAUAGUGCUUGUGCUCUACGUUCAGAUAUAAGCAGAAACUAGAGGAAAUUUUUUGUUUGGAUAAAAAUUUUGUUCAUGGCGAUAAGGCAAACACUGUUUGGAUAGUUAGAUUCGAAUAGUGGGAAUAAAAUUAAUUAAAAUUUUAAAUUAAUACUAUUUUAUAUAAUUAAUUAACAUCAAAAUAUUAAAUAAAAAUAAUUUAAUAAAUUAAAAAUUUAUUAGCUAUGAAUAUUGAGUAAGAUAAUGAAAAAUAUAUUAACUAAUUAAUUAUAUUAAUUAAUUAUAAAAUAUAACAUAACAUUUUAAUUAAUUAGUAAAUUAUUUAAUUAGUUAAUUAGAUGAUUUGUUAAGAAAUUAAUUUAAUUAGCUGACCAAUAUAAAUACUAGUUAUUAGAUAAACACAUUAAAUAAUUAAUUCUUAAUGAGCUAAUUAACCAUAAACAAUAAAUUAAUUAAUUACAUUAAGCAAUAGAUAAUAACUUAAAUAUAUUAAUUAUAUUAAUUAGUAAGUUAAUAAAAUAAUUAAAAUUAGAUUUAAGCUUUCACUGAGCUUGUUCCACUUCCAUGGGGAGGGUGGAAAUAGCUAUUCCACUCUUGUUUCUCCUUAUUAUGAAUAAUGGAUACCCAAACCAAAUGCUACCUUAAUGAAUAGGUUAAGUCUAAAAGCACAAGAUCAACCCAUUCACUAUAACAAAAACGGUGUAUAGCGACAAUUUUAAAUAUCGAUACUGGUAAAAAAAAGUGCAACUAGCUAAAUUACCGAUACUUUUUAAAAGUGUUGCUAUAUAUGGAAUCGCUAUAGAUAGGACCGCCUUGAUAUUUGGCACCCAUUCCUCCAGCGACCUAUGGUGAAAGGGAUAUGUGAUGAUCGUAGCUCUUUACAAUCCCUAUGAAAUUCUCGCAGCCGAACUCCAUCCGUUGAAACCCUACCUCAUCGAAUGCGGCGGCGGAGGAAGAGAAGGGGAGAUGGUGAUAAUUUUUUUUUUUUCUUUCUUUCUUAUUUGUAAUCAGACUGAGUGGGCUGGGUGUGGUUGGUUGAGUAGAGAAACUUUUUAUUUUUAAUUGGAUUUGGCUUUAUAUUUAGACCUUAAUAAAUUUUUUAAAAAAGUUUUGGCAUAAAUGGAACACUUAUAUAAAUUAAAGUAUUCAAAAAAUGUGUCCCUAUAAACUAUUUCUGUUAUAGUAAUUUAUUAAAUAGCCGAUCUAAACGGUUCGAGCAGGUUAUGCGAGUCAAUCCGAACACAAACUGUAUAAUAAACAGAUUAAACAGGAUAGAUCAAGUUGUUUCUAAUUCAAACACACGUAUAUUAAACCAAAACCUGCUAACUUCAUUUCGGCUCCUCACUUUUUAUAUAGAUUGUGUUAAGAAAUACCGUAGCAAUUUAAUUUUCAGUAUUAUCUCCUCAAUCAAUGUAUGCAAUAACAUUCGGAUAACAAGGGUGUAUCGGUUGACAUGUUAGAAUGGGGGUUCUAAGGCAUUUGUAAGCCAUCAACAAUUAUACAUAACUCUCAAAGGACUUGGUGGUUGGUACCCGAGACCCAAGUUCGAAUCCUAGUUGAUUUACAUUUCCAGCUAAGUUUAUUUCUAAAUGAAAUAAACAAAACGGGUAGCGUGCUACCUAUCUCUCAAAAAAUAAUAAUAAUAAUAAUUAUACAUAACUCAUGGGUCGAAAUGAAUCAAUAAGAGCGAUGUUAAUUUUAGCCGUGAUUGAACUCCACAGCUUUCUUACUUGAAAGAUUGAUCCCCCGCUGUUAGAAUUUCACAACUUACACUAAUAUUAGAUUUGCUCUGAUAUCACUUUGUUAGAAAUCUGCGACUUAUUCUGAUAUGAAAUUUCUUCUGAUACCAAUUUGUUAUGACAAAAGAAGAAAAUAUCUACUUUGCAGAUGUGAAAAAUGCAGAAAGAAAAUUGAGAAAGAGAGAAGAAAAAUAAAACAAUACAAAUAUUUAUAUGGUUCAGCCGUUGGCCCACAUUCACAAGUGAAGACGCAGUGGAGAUUUCAUCAUAAUCAAAGUGGUGUACAAAAUAUGCUCUCUCGUAAAACUUUAGUCCUAAAAAUGAACAAAUACUCCUUAUCUGCCGCACCAAAUCAGUAUAAUAAAUAUAUAUUUAUAAUAGUAGCUAUAUUUUAAUAUAAUAAAGAAUACAAAUCAACUAAAAUUAGAAAUAAUCUCAAUAAAAUUAGGCAUAAUCUAAAUAUAACUUAACAGAAAAAUCAAAAGAGAAUAGGAUUAGAAAACUUAUCGGUUCCAGAAUUCGAGAUAAUCUAACACCUGCUCACUUGAAUAAUAAUUAUUAGGUGAACCAUGCCGAAUGCACCCUUCUUCACAAUUAUAGUAUACCGACUAAUGUGGGGGUGGCUCAGAUACUAUAUUACCCAAAAGAUUGAUUUAGCAGGAAAUAAUUCAAUACUAGUCUUAAAAAGGUACCUAGUUCAGGUCUAAAUCCAUCAGGUGAAAACCUGGUCCAAUACAAAAUUGAGUUCAUGUAGAGGCAUGUGCCUAAAAUGAUGCCCAGUAUAAUUAGCUUUUAUUAUUUGGUAUUUACUCUCUUUAAUUCUUCGCUUCCUCUUUGGCACAACUUAAUUAUAUAUAAAUAGAGGUAAUGGGAUGGGCUCUCUAGCUUCUGUUAAAAUCUUUAUUAACUAUUAUAUCUUUUCAACAAUUUCAAUUUGUACAACUAAUUUGAUAUUGGCUUCCUUUUAACUACUAUUCACCUCUCCUUUGAUAACUUACUUAUUAAUCUACAAUUUUAAUAUAUUUUAAUUUAAUUAUUCAUAUAGCUUUUACUAGUUCUUAUUAGUCUCUUUAGCUCUUCAUCUCCCAUGCACUUAGCAUAACUUGAGCAUAUAUGUAAAUAAAGAGAUCUCAACUUUUACAAUUUGAUACUAAUUAACUCUGAUCUUUUAAAUCUUCACCUCUUUUUGUCAUAACUUACUCACAAAUUUACAAUUUUAUUUAAUACAUUUUAGUUUANGUAGCUCUGUAUUUUGGAUCCGAACUAUGUAUAUGAAACUCUGUUUUAUCUAGCUUCAGUUUCUCUAGCAGCUCUCUACUACUGUUUGUAGUAGUGUUUGAUUUACAGGUACAGCUAUCGCUUCGUAUACAGGGAAAAUUUCUUUGUAUACGGCGGAUCUGUCGGCGUGCCCGGGGAACGUGUAAUCCGGGGCGUGACAUAGUUAAAGAUAAAAUGGGCUGGCUUCAGGCCCAUAGGAGGAGGAAAAAGCAACUUGCUUAAGGAACUAACUGAGAAUCAAAGCACCUAAACAGUUUUCUUGCUUACAUAUAAAAGACCAAUCAAAUUAGGACACGCACUCUUAGAAUAAGUUAUGUCAUGCUGAUUACCUUGAUUUCUUCGGCCAUUCUCUCGUUAGAUGUAUUUGGUAUGCCACGCUUUAUAGCUAUCUUUGCAAUAGUACUUUUUUCCCACAACUUCACCAUAGCACUAGCUAAGCCUUGGUGCAACUUGUUUCUUCCUACAACAUACAAAAAUAGUAAUUAUACAUGAACUAGUAUGCUCACCGUUUGCUAGAGUUAUUUUUUUUUUUUUUUCAUCAUAUCCUGUUUGGAAGAUUUGAUAUGCUAUAUUGAUGAAAAUUGCCCUCCUGGUGCUAUUCUUGUUGCUGCUACUUUACUGUAAUAGCUUAACAAUAUGCAUUAUUUUGUAAAGAUUUGAUAUGCUAUAUAGUUAGUAAAGAACUUAUAUGUAAUUUUUAAAAGUUUACGGGGGCCAUGACCACUGUGAGCCUCGCAAUGAAUUCGAAAUUUAAAAUGGAAGCUACAUUUGUCUUUGAGAAGUUUCUUAGUUUUUGUAUUACUUAAUCUAACUAUGAGGAUCAAUAUUAGUGCAGCCAAAUGUUUUAUGCUAAGCAAAAAUUAUUACAAUUAUCUACCACAUAAAAAGAAAAUUUUGCUUAGAUAGUUUUUUCUCUUAAAACUUGAUGUGAGAAACAAACAAAUAUAUAAAUUAGCAAAACAAACUAGCAUAUUAAAAUACUCUAAAUUAUCAUGUAAAAUUUAUUUUUUAUCUCUUAUUUUCUUUGUAUUACAAUUAAUUAUUACACCUAUUUUUAACUAAAUAAGAAUAAAAACGUUAUGAAUAAAAAAUAAUGAUCAGGAAAGAUGUCAUAAGAGAGCUACAGAUCAGAAGUGAGAAUAGAAAUAGUUGGGAUGCUAAGAAUUCUAAGCUAGAUCAAUAAAAUAAGUAGGUAGUAUAGUUUCAUUUAUUUGGAAGAUUUUCAUAAGCUAUAUAAGACAAGUUACACUAUAUUUUCAUUAUUUUUUUUACUCUUUAAUUAGAUAGCAAUGAAAUAGAAAAGUUUAUUUUCAAAUCGUGGCUGCUGCCAAGGCCUUUGGAGAAGCAAAAAGUAAAAUCAAAAGUCCAAUCACAUAAAUAAAUCUUCACAGCAGUAAGUUAUCAUCGAAUAACUUAUUUCAAUAUACAAACCAGGCCUUCAUUUAUAAUUUAUAAAUCACUAUAUUCAUUUUGAAUAAUUAAAAGGAUAUAUCACAUAAGAUAUUCGGUAUCUAGACAAAGCCUACAAUAUAUAAGAAUAACAGCACCCAAUGUAUGCGUGUUACUGUCGAUAUGCUAAAAUGCAGGUUCUUGGACUUUUUGGGUUUUGGGCCAUCAACAGGACCGGGCAUUUCCACAGUUGGUGCUAAGGUUUGUUAAUUAUGGGUUCUUAAUUUUAUAAGAAAUUUAUUGAAUUUUGUUCCUCUUUGUGGAGAUUAGUAGGGGUGGCUAAAAUUUGGGUCCCGGUCAAAAUCAGGUGAGGCAUAAAAACGUACAUAACUUAUCUAAACUAUAGACAAUUUUUAAUCGACUACUCAGCUUUUCAAAAAUUUUAAUUUUACUAUCAAACCUUUCAAUUUGUUUGAUUUAACUUAGUCAAUAAUAUUGUGAGUUCAAAAUUUAAGCUAAUUACUUACUUCAAUAUUUAUAGUUUGCAAGAAUUAUAUGAGAUCAAUAUACUAAUUAAAUAUGUAAAGAUAAAUGACAUGUUAAAAUUUUAAAAUGAAAAGUAUCAUUGACUAACUUAAAUCAAACAAAUUNUAGCUUUUACAAUUUGAUACUUACUCUUUUUUAAAUAUAUCUUACUCACAAAUUUACAACUUCAAUGUAUUUUAUUUAGCUAUUCAUUAUUAGCUUUAACAAUUUUGUCUUACUCUCUUUCAGUGGUCACCUCUCCUUUGGCAUAACUUAAUCGAUCAUAUACAAAAAUAAUAAGAUUGGUUCUCUAAUUUCUUAUAAAAUCCUUUCAACCUACCAUGUUGAUCUCUUCAACAAUUUCAACAUUUAUAAUUUGAUACUAACUUUCUUAAUUUUAACUCUCCACCUAUCUUUUGGCAUAGCUUACUCAUAAACAGAGACGACGAAGUCAGGAAUUAAGAUUAAGAGGCCUAAGAUUCUUGUUUGGCAUGAAAAAAUUCGACUUGAAACCUUGGGUAGUUAAAAAAAGAGUUCGUCGAAUUUAGCGGCCACCAAUUACUGGUGACGGUGACGGUGACGAUGCUGUGCCGGCCCGAGGUGUCCAGGGGUACGUAAAUUGGGAGUGCGCACAUGUUUAGCAAAAAUAAAAAUAAAAAUUCAAUUUGGCUCCCUAAAAACUAAAAUUUGCAAAACUUUAUUUGAUUAUUACUAUCACUACAAGAAAACAUUGUAUUGGUGGCAAAAAUAAGAUGGCGACAAAAUUUAUCGCCACUAUAUAGUUACCUAUGGUGGCGAUAGAAAAAAUCGCCACUGAUUAAUUAACUUAAAGUGGCGAUACUGGUUUCACCACUAAAUGACUAUUUUGUUGCCACUAUUUGGUUAUUUAUAAUGACGAUAAAAAAAAUUGCCACCAAUUAUAUUUGGUUAUCUAUAAUGGCGAUAAAAAAAAUUGCCACCAAUUAAUUAAUUUAAAGUGGCGAUAGUAUUUUUACCACUAAAUUACUAUUUUGUUGUCACUAUUUUCUUAUUUAUGGUGGCGAUAAAAAAAAAUCACCACCGAUUAAUCUAUUCUUAUAUUAUUAUAAGCAAAUAUGAUUGUUGGUUUCGUCUCACCCUCUUUUUGUCGGUACAUGUAUAAUUACCAAAAUAACCUUCACAUCACUAUUAAUAGUAGUUAUUCAAUAAUAUUUAUUGUGAAUUCAAAUUUAAGUUGUUUAAUUAAAUUUAUUGAAAUUUAAUAAAUUAUAAAUUAUAUGAGUAACGGAAGAGGGGAAGUGAAAGAGUCUAUCUAUAAUCUAUUCUUAUUAUUAUAAGCAAAUAUGAUUGUUGGUUUCGUCUCACCCUUUUUUUGUCGGUACAUAUAUAAUUACCAAAAUAACCUUCACAUCACUAUUAAUAGUAGUUAUCCAAUAAUAUUUAUUGUGAAUUCAAAUUUAAGUUGUUUAAUUAAAUUUAUUGAAAUUUAAUAAAUUAUAAAUUAUAUGAGUAACGGAACAGGGGAAGUGAAAGAGUCUAUCUAUAAAUGAAAAAUUUUUAUAAUACAUAAUUACCAAAAUAACCUUCACAUCACUCUUAAUAGUAGUUAUUUAAUAAUAUUUAUUGUGAAUUCAAAUUUAAGUUGUUCAAUUAAAUUUAUUUGAAAUUUAAUAAAUUAUAAAUUGUGUGAGUAACGGAAGGGGGGAAGUUAAAGAGCCUAUCUAUAAAUGAAAAUUUUUUAGAAUUAUUUACAUCUAAUCUUUUCAUCUUCCAAAACAUAAAUGAGAGAGAAAAAAAAUAAUUAAUCAUUCUUUUAUGAAUAACGGUUCAAAUUUAAGAUGUUCAAUUAAAUUUAUUUAAAAUUUAAUAAAUUAUAAAUUGUAUGAGUAACGGAAGAAGGGAAGUGAAAAGGCCUAUCUAUAAAUAAAAAAUUUUUAAAAUUAUUUACAACUAAUCUUUCAUCUUCCAAAUAAUAAAUGAGAAAGAAAAAAAAUAAUUAAUCAUUCUUUUAUGAAUAACGGAUAAGGAGAAGUGGAAGAGCCUAUCUUCUCAUANUANNNNNNNNNNNNNNNNNNNNNNNNNNNNNNNNNAUAUAUAAUUGAGCUCCUAUGCUUUUAAAAGUACCAAAACAUUGGUACUAGUAAGUUUUCGGCCCUUGGAUUAAGGGAUGUGCAGUUAGGAUGAUGUGGAUUCCCUAGGGUUGAGUGGGUGGUAUAUAUAUAUAUAUAUAUAGAUAGAAUUACUGUUAGAACUAGUAUUAAUUUAAAUAUGAAUACCAAUUGAAUAUCUAUAAAACAGAUUUUUGCUCGGCUAGGAACCAGAUUUGAACUUGUGACAUGUUAAUUUUUGGUCCUCAGCUCUACCAGUUGAAAUAUCCCCUAGUAAAGUGAAAGAGUAGAAUGAAUGAGAAGAUCACAAAUAUUCUUUUCCACGGAAAAUCUUUUUCUCUGAAAAUAAUCUUUUAAGUAAUUUUUCAUAAUUUUCGGUGUAUUUAUUUUAGCAUAAGCAGGGAGAGGUGAAGUAGUUUUUAGCUGUAAAUAUUCACUUCCGUUGUUUAGUUUGCUGGCAACUUACCUGGGAUCCAAAACUUAAACUCGCCAAAAUAGUGUGAGGCAAAGUUCAUUACGAAAAGAAAAAAAUUAGAUCCCUCGCAUGCAUCUCCAGCCCUUACGACAUUCACUACACAAAACAAAAAUGAAAGGAAAGUACUUUUUUUUACCGGAACUUUAGUUUAUCCAAAAAUCUACUUUAGUCUGUAUUAAUUAGGACCAGCAAUUCAGCUCGCUAUUCCAUGCUACUUGGUAUUCGACUCGAAAUGUGCUCGAAAUCGAUCGCUCGUUUAAUAAAGAAGCGGAACACGAGCUGAAUUUUUCAGCUCGAAAUAUUAACAAGCCGAGCACGAGCUGAGAUCAGCUCACUCGUGUUCUGCUCGAUAAGACACACAUAUCGCAUACACACACAUAAAUUUUACUAUUUAGAUUUUAUACCAACCCAAUGUAAAAGACCCUAUACUUUACAAACUUUAAUUAUUAAAGGAAAAACUUCAAAAACCCCCUUGUAGUUUCAUAGUUUUUUCACUUUGCCCCUCUGUGGUUUAAAAUGUAUCAAUUUGCCCCCCUGUGGUUUCUUUUUUCUCUUUUUCUUAUCAAUUUCAUUAUUUUUUUUUAAAUCAAUAAUAAAGUUAAAAUUAAAGGGUACUAAAGUGAAUAUUUUAUAAAUCUAUAUGGGUAUCUGAAAUUUUUUGUAUAUAAUUUAAUGAAAUAUUAACGAAAAAACUACCGAAAAUAUAAAAACGAAACCACAGGAAGGCAAUUUGAUACAUUUUAAACUACAGGAGGGCAAAGUGAGAAACUACGAAACCACAUGAGAGAUUUUUGAAGUUUUUUCAUUAUUAAAUUAAGAUUCUAAUUUUUUUUUAUUUUUUCCAACUUUCUAUUCCGUAAUUAACGGAGCUGCCAAUCUAACUUACUAUUUGUAAUUAUAAACGAGCGUCAUAUUUAACUCGUUAAUAAAUAAGUAAAAUAUAAAUUGAAUUUUUUAUCUCGAUAUUUUAGCGCGAGCGAGCCGUGAAAUAUCCUUGGUAUAUAUUUGGAUGGGAAGAGGAGGGGGGACGUCAACGUAUCAAAAUAAAGAAACAAAAACAAAAUAUUCGACGCGCAUGCACGCACGGGGAGCGGAGGGGAAAAAAAAAAGGCAAAAGAGCGGCAAAAGUUAUUGAAAAGCGGGGUGCAGCGCAGCGGAAAUAAUACCAUCACCUGGCGGUAUUUGGUAUUGGAGUGUCUGUCUGAAUUACGACUGCGUACGACAGACAACGACGCUCGCCUCUUUUCGAGGCGCCACCAAAAGUCAGGGACGCGCAAUUUUUUCCGUUCCCUUAGUAAAAUAUUAACAUAACAAACACCCGAGGGAGCAUCUCCCACCAAAAACGCCACCAUUUUAUGCAUAGUUCCUACUUCCUAGCUAUUUCUUCAAUAUUAAAUUAAAAUAUAGGAUUAAUUUUACACACACUCCUUAUACGAACAUUACACGAAUGAGUUGAAACCGACUCGUUUAUUAACAAACCGAAUACAAAUUGACUAACAAAUAUAUAUAUAUAUAUAUAUAUAGUGUAAGGCUAUUAUGCUAUCGAAAGCACGAAGCCUUUCGUGCUUUCAGCUCGUUUUCGAUAUUGCGACUUUCGAAUCGUCGAUCGGAUCCGUUAAACUUGAUCUAGAGUAUUUGGAGUACCUAAAAAAUAAAUUUUAUUAUUUUUCGAUGUCAUUUGCUUAGUGAUCGAAUGGGCUCAAAAUCAACAAAUUUCAAUGGCCGUAGUGAGUCGUUUGCAAGUUUAACGGUGUAGAAAUAUCCAAAUNAGGGCUUCUAAUAUAAAAACACUAUUUAUUUAGUUGUGAAAAAAAUAUUAUUUAUUUAAUUAUUAUAUAUAUUUAAUAUUAUUAAAUAUAUAUACAUAAAUUAUUAAUUUAAUGUUAAAACAAUUUAAUAUAUUUUUUAUUUAACAUGAAAAUUAAUACGUGCAGCGCACGUGCAUUAACUAGUUAACUUAAAGUGGCGAUUCUACCUUCACCACUAAAUUAGCCACUAUUUAAUUAUUUAUGGUGGCGAUAAAAUAAAUUGUCAUUGUUUGGUUAGCUAUAAUGACAAUAAGAAAAAUUAGCACUAAUUAAUUAAAUUUCAUUUAAUUUUUAAAUUAAAUUAAAUUAAUAUUUUAAUUUAAUUUUAAAAUUACUAAUUUAAUUUUUAAAAAAUUUAAAAAAGACCUCACUUCCCUCAGCUCACCUGCCCUCUCCCCUCCACUUCCUCUCAGCUACUCUAGAAAAAACCCAAACCCCCCGGAAAACCCAUUUCUCCCGCUCCUCUUUGACGAUCUCUCGAUGGCGAGCUCGUCAUGGCGAGCUCCUUGCCGGCGAUCUCGUCACCGGCGAGCUCCUGACCGGCGAGCUCCUCAUCGGCGACAUAGGCGACAAGCUCCUCGCCGAUGAGCUAUGCAACGAGCUCCUCAUUGCUAAUUUUCUUUCCGACGAGCCCUUCUAAACGAAGCUUCUUCUCGUCGAGCUCCUCGCAAGUGAGUCCCUCACCGCCGAUCUCCUCUCCGGUGAACCCUCUCCUUUCGCUCCUCUCUUCCACUCCAAACCCUCACCGCAGAUCUAUAUGCACUUCUCUUUGCUACGAUCGAUCUAGAUUGGUCGAAGGACGAUAAUUUUUUUCAAAUUUGCAUGAAUUUUGCACGUUAGGGUUUUGUUUUCUUUGCCCUUAUUGAUGUUGUGUAUUCUUUGUUUGAUCUCUUGUGAAAAGCACAUUUUGGUGAAAUUGGUCCUUUAUAUUCAUAGUUUUUAUCAGUUAAUACAUGCUUGUAUCUGUCCUAAUUUCGAUUAUUAACAUAUAUGAUGUAAUUUAAAUCUCCUACUCCUUUUCUCCUGCGAGCUGGGAUUUGGAGCAUCAGCAGCAGCGGAAGUGUAGCAGCAACGUAGGGUUUUACCUAAUGUGAGGCUUUCCAAUUGCUAAAUUGGAACUUGUCCAUGGGCUAGUUGAUAGAGGAGAGCUUGGGGAUCAAUUUCUUCUUCUAAAUUUCAGAUUAGUUUGAUUGAAAUUGAAGAAAUUUGGACUUUGAGCUGAAUUUAGCACUUUGUUGGAAUUUUGUCCAUGGGCUAGUUGAAUUGGAGUAGCUCCUAGCUAGAUUACUAGUUAGUUAAGCUGAAUUUGGGACUUUGGACUUGAAAUUGGAUUUUUAUUGAUUUUCAUUAGAACUUUGAUUCCAAAUUCUAUUCCAGCAUAAUCCUUGUUUGGGGUGGCGUUUUCUAUAUUCUUGCUGAUUGAUUUGGAGCUAAGGAAGAAGCUGGGGUGAUUGAUUUAAAUCCAGGUGAAUGUAAGUAGGUAAGUUUUGGUAGAAAUCCAGGUGAAUGUAAGUUGGUAAGUUUUCCCCUAGAUUCGUGGGCUAUAAGGAAGUUCUCUUCAUUUCUGUUGCCAGAUUGUGAUUCGAGGUGGGUUUGAAUUUAUCGAAAACAUCGGACCCCUUAUUUUGUCUAGGUAUCAUAGUUUCAUAUGCUACUGGAAUGAGAGGUUCACAUAGCUAAUUUCCCAUUGCUAUUGAUCUAAGAAACUAGGACAAAUCUUAUGGUUAAUCAUUGUUUUAGUAUGAACUGAGACAUCAAAUCAUGUUGAGAAUGGUAAUUACUGAGACCCGCAAACCAAUCUCAUCUUAAUAGCAUUCAAGCAACUACAAUCAAACAUAAACAGUUCUAAAAAAAAACUGGCCCUCUGCAUGUGGUGUUCGUUUUCUAAUAGAGAAGGGUAGUAUGAGAUCCAUGAACACAAAGCACCUAUGUUGCACAGUUACCUAUUCCACAUUGUCCAAGCAGGUAAUUCCAGAAGAAUACUAAAUUACACUUGACACAUGAUUUUACAUAUGUAUUUGUUCUUGGGGAAAAAAAAAUAAAAGAAAAAAAAUGUAAUUUACAAGACAAAGUACCAGGAGAGUAAAAAAAAUAUUAAUACACUUGUUCUAUCUCAAAAGUCUUCAAUUAGGACUUAAUGAUGGAUUUAAAAAAAAAGGUAAGUCCAAAUCAUAUAAAACGCUGUCAGGGAUAUUUAGGAAUGAAUGAUGAAAAUUAUUCACUUCAAUCUGAUCCAGGAAACCAUAAACAAAGUUAUCCAUGGGAAUGUUUCUAAGAAAAUAAGGCAUGUGCGACAAAAAAAUAGGUCAUGCACAAGAUAGUUUGUGAGAUCCCUGGUGUUUGACUGUGGAGACUUGUCGACAGCUCUGGAGAGUGUCGGGACAAGUCCGAGUCGCGUUGGCGUCAAAUAGACGCAAAACGGGCUCCGUGCGACGCGAGGGCAACUUUCAGCGAAGAAAAU
rnacentral:lncRNA from 1 species